AGCCCUGGCGGGAUCAGGGCUGUCCGGGCUCCACCACAGAACCGCGGUGUGGCGGGGACACACCGCCUCGCCUCUCAGGACACAAUCCGUAAGCUGUUCCUACAGCGGCGCCUUCCGAGUCAAGAGACUGCUGAGACCAGCUCUCAGACUUUUUGGUCUCAGGCCCCCCGGGGAGCUUUUGUUUGCAUGGAUUACAACCAUUGAUAUUUGUAGUAUUAGCAAUUAAAAUAAAAAUUUACAAGACAAGUGUGCACAGAGACACAUCCCAUAGGCCCUCCAGACGGUGAGGUCCACAUCACGUAGCCUCUGAAAAACAACCAACUCACAAGAAAACAAGCGUGGGAAAGGCAAAUAACAGCUUGGUACUGUUAGGAAAAUAACUGCGACCACACGUCGAGAACCGCCGGCUUCAAAUGAGAUGUCAGUUUCAUCUCAGGAACUGGCUUCCCCAUUCAGUUAUCUAUUACUCCACAUUUAUUGAUGAAUAUGUGACAAGUGCUGCCACCCUUGCACAAUGCCUGGCAUCUUAAAGCUCCUGUUGGAGACCGGGUGUAAGCUGACACGGUCCUUGCACCUAAAGGGGCUAGCAAGGCUGGGACCCUUACCCACACAGUUUUCCCAGACUUGCUUGGAUGGCGGUUAUCAGUAGAAUGAGAGCAACCUUUGUAGAAUGAGAACAACCUUUCAUGGCUUAUCAAGAAGUCUGUAACUAUUUACUGAGAUUUGCUGUACCAAGAAUUUGUCCUUCCGCUCUGUCUCUCCCUUAGAGAUUAAGAGGAACAAAGAAUACAUUCCUCUUGACAGACCUCCUAUUUAGUGUUUUGUGUAUAAAAGGCAUUGCGUGGUUAAUAAACUUACUGCAGUUCCUCAAUUGAUCUGUAGUCCUCCUGA